rnacentral:rRNA from 1 species
AGAGUUCGAUCCUGGCUCAGGAUGAACGCUGGCGGCGCGCCUAACACAUGCAAGUCGAACGAUUAAAGCACCUUCGGGUGUGUAUAAAGUGGCGAACGGCUGAGUAACACGUGGGCAACCUGCCCCUCUCAUUGGGAUAGCCACGGGAAACCGUGGAUAAUACCGAAUACUUCGGGACUUCCGCAUGGAAGACCCGAGAAAGCUCCGGCGGAGAGGGAUGGGCCCGCGGCCUGUUAGCUUGUUGGUGGGGUAACGGCCUACCAAGGCAAUGAUGGGUAGCUGGGUUGAGAGACCGACCAGCCAGAUUGGGACUGAGACACGGCCCAGACUCCUACGGGAGGCAGCAGUGGGGAAUCUUGCACAAUGGGCGAAAGCCUGAUGCAGCGACGCCGCGUGCGGGAUGAAGGCCUUCGGGUUGUAAACCGCUUUCAGCAGGGACGAGGCGAAAGUGACGGUACCUGCAGAAGAAGCCCCGGCUAACUACGUGCCAGCAGCCGCGGUAAUACGUAGGGGGCAAGCGUUAUCCGGAUUCAUUGGGCGUAAAGCGCUCGUAGGCGGUCUGUUAGGUCGGGAGUUAAAUCCGGGGGCUCAACCCCCGUUCGCUCCCGAUACCGGCAGACUUGAGUUUGGUAGGGGAAGGUGGAAUUCCUAGUGUAGCGGUGGAAUGCGCAGAUAUUAGGAAGAACACCAGUGGCGAAGGCGGCCUUCUGGGCCAUAACUGACGCUGAGGAGCGAAAGCUAGGGGAGCAAACAGGAUUAGAUACCCUGGUAGUCCUAGCCGUAAACGAUGGACACUAGGUGUGGGGGAAUAUUUCUUCCGUGCCGCAGCUAACGCAUUAAGUGUCCCGCCUGGGGAGUACGGCCGCAAGGCUAAAACUCAAAGGAAUUGACGGGGGCC